rnacentral:rRNA from 1 species
CUACGGGCGGCUGCAGUGGGGAAUAUUGCGCAAUGGCCGCAAGGCUGACGCAGCGACGCCGCGUGUGGGAUGACGGCCUUCGGGUUGUAAACCACUGUCAGGGGGGACGAAUACCCGGCCUCGAAUAGGGGACCGGGGGUGACGGUACCCCCAGAGGAAGCACCGGCCAACUCCGUGCCAGCAGCCGCGGGUAAGACGGUGGGUGCAAGCGUUGUCCGGAUUCACUGGGCGUAAAGCGCGCGUAGGCGGCCGUUUAAGUCAUCUGUGAAAGCCCGGGGCUCAACUCCGGGACUGCAGGCGAAACUGGAUGGCUAGAGCUCGGUAGAGGGGAGUAGAAUUCCCGGUGUAGCGGUGGAAUGCGUAGAUAUCGGGAAGAAUACCAGUGGCGAAGGCGGCUCGCUGGGCCGAAGCUGACGCUGAGGUGCGAAAGCGUGGGGAGCAAACAGGAUUAGAUACCCCUGUAGUC